UUUCAUUUAGUUUAUGAAAAACAUUACUCUUUCAAAGUAAAGUACCUUAGGGGAUUGAAC
rnacentral:tRNA from 1 species